UUCUAAACUGCUGCUUUCAUCCUUCCGCUUCUCCACUCCUAGGCCCUCAGGAGCUCCCCAUCACCUAUCAAAUAAAUUUCAAGUGCACUGCAGCCUGGCAUCAACUUCUUCAACCUUAUCAUCUACACUUCCUGCAACACCUGCAUCUCACCAGACUUGAACUACAUCCUUCAUUAUUCAAAUCCUACUCCACAAUCCAUUCUGCUGCCCUGCUUAAAAUAACUCCUUCUGAUUUUUAUGCAGUGGAAACACAGCCACUUGCCAUAGCUCAGGUCCAUAGCUCAGAUGGUCUUUUCCCCUGAAAAUUCACUCAUCUUUUGAAUGCCUGUUUUGGUAGCCUGUUCGUCAUCAGACCAUGUAUUUCCUCGAAUGGCUGAUAUUAAUGACAGUUUACAAGUCCCGGCUCGCUUAACUUUAAUCUCCUUGAGGGCAGUGAUCAUAUUUCACAUUCUGCUUUCUACACAACACCAGCAAAGAUCUGGCACACAAUCGACUUUAAACGAAUGUUUGUUGAAAUACUGACUAGGUUAGGUUUUCCAUUCGUAUAGUUGAUGCAGAAAAAGUGAUAUUCAUUUCUAAAAUGUGGCCUCUCUUGAAUCUUUGUGUUAGUUACUGCUGUGUUACUAAAGUUGAUGUCAUGAGAAAUUCGCCAGCAAACCACAAACACUAGUGUAGUGGUGUUAGCACACAGGUGAGCUCUCUGUAGGUGACAGGCCCUGACUUUUCCAGGACGGGAGAGCAGCAGUGCAUUUUUUAUUAGAGAGAGAGAGAGUUCCAUGUUCUUGGACAAUCAGAGCCUAGUUAUUCAGAUGCUAAGGAAGACACAAGGCAAACUGCUGGUGAUGUCUUAACCUCGGGAUUCCCCAGAAAGCUAGUAAGAAUCACCAGCCCGUGCUGGCAGGCAUGGCUACUUCCUGUCAAAGGCAUCGAAGUGAAAGCAAUGGAACACAAAAUGACAACAACAUCUGGAACUAGACUCCUUCCAUGAUGCCUCCACUGUCCCAGAACGAUGCCCAUCCCCACACCUACAACACUCUGUGGCGCCUCCUCAGGUCCACCUAUUAAACUGUGGGGUGGACUGUGUUUUAACAUUAUAGCCCAAGGACCUAACAGCCCCUGGCACACAGUAGGUUCUCAAGCAGUGAUUUUUGUGAGGGAAGGACUAUGCUCCUCUCUGCAAAAAUGGAAAUCAAUGACCGUACUUCCCUCUCUGUAAGCCGGUGAGUGCGUCACGAGAUAGUCAAGACUCAAUGUUCUGAGCUGAACAAAUCUGAUGAAAGCAGAAGACUUAGAAGGCCGUCUUUGAAAAGAAGCCAAGGGGGAAUCUAGGCUUUGAAGAUAUCUUGUCCCACUAAUUCUGCUGUCUCUUUUCUUCCAGGCUCUAGAGCAGGCUACAAACUUGAGAGUGAGGUGAAAAUGGGGUGAUAGACGUCCUCUCAGCCUAUCUUAACACAUCUUACGAGAGUCGAGAGUCGUUAGGAGAAUGUAUUAUUCAUUCCCAACUGACUGCCCUGCUGAGGCAAAUGUUGUAAAGAUGCUUCAUUUGGGGAAGUUAGACUUGAAAGAUUAGGACUUAGAUGUGUUUCCAUCAACUUUAUGCCAGAGUCGAAGUUCAUACUCAGAACUUAGUGGUGAUGGUCUCAUCGGUCUAAGGACUAAAAAUAUUUCCUAUUAUACCCAGAGCGUGGCAACUAUCGGCUUUCAGGGGUAAAUUCCAUUCGAUUGGGAAAAUCUUGGUUGAAUAUCGCAUAGUUUCGAAGCUGCUCUUGUCAUACUUUUUCUCCUCCGAGGACACCUCAGACAUUCUAAUUUUGGAUCCACUGUCAUGGUGGCCCUUCCUUAGCUUCCGCUUUAUGUAAUUAACCCAACUUGGGUCCUCCUUUUCUUCCCCACAAGUAGUUAAUCCACAGCCUAAUGGGCCAUGUUGCUAUCUUUACAGUCCUUUCUCUUAGAUUAAUGUACUCCGGGUCCUGUGUAAGGACUUGGCUCUGUGCUAGGCACUUUGCAUGUGCGACACCACCUCAUUCCCCACAAUUCUAGGUGGUAGAUGUUAAUAUUUUUAUUUUCACUUUAUUUGCGACGACAGGCUAACAGAGGUCAUGAAACUUGCUCAAGAUCACACCACUAAUCAGUGCUGGAACCAGCAUUUGAGCUUAGGUCCAAAUAACACCAAAGCCCAUGCGUUUAAGCAAUGCACGUUGCAUCCACAAGCUACAAGUUUCAGAAAAAGCACAGCCUACCACGGCCAAAGAAAAAAUGUCUGAAAGAUUCUUUCUCCGAGAAGUCAAGGAUUUGAAGGCUUCGUAACUCCCAUGUCAAACUAUUAAUGUCGAUCACAAAACACGGUAAUUUAUUUAAAUGGCUGAUCAUUGAGUAGAGCCGAUUAUAAUAAAGAAAUGUAUUUUGCUGAGCAAAAGGCUGAAGGGAAACUCAGAGCCUCAUGUAUACGUGUGGGGGCAGAAAGAAGUUAGCCCCACCCCCCUGCAAGAAAGACGUGAAUAAAGUCUCGGAGUUUUUCUAUUUGUUGGAGUUAGAGGUUUGGGAGAGCCAUUCCAUGUGCUAGAUAAACAAGCCUCUUUCCUCUCCUUCACAUUCCCCUCUCAAAUGCCACUUCAUUCAAGACACCCAGCCUUUCCAAAUAACAACCAAAUAUGUAGAGUACUUAACAAUUUUUAAAGAUUUUCCACAAGUCUCGGCUUAAUAAUCGUUCUUUCUCCUGGAACCCACCACCAUCGGCACACCCAAACAUUCAAACAAACAAGCUAACAAACAAGCUAACAAACAGAUAUCCAAACUAGCAAACAAAAUUCAAGCAUUUUAAAGGGCUACGUUCCUUUUACCACAUCUUCCUACGGCUUUCCAGACUAGACUGUGCCAGGCAAGGCAGCCCUAGGCACUGGGCACGUCUUUCCUUCAUCAGACAACCUGUGCAGCAUGACAUCGGAUCCCUUCGGUCCCCUCUCACUCAGACAAUCCGCUGUAACCACAGUUAAGUUCUCGCUGGCCUCCACUAGACAGCCAUGCCGGGCCAUCCUGUCGGAAGCGGUAAAUCGCACGCCUGUGAGCCUCGGGCCGGAAGCCCGGCUUACAUCAGAGAUUCAUAACCCCAAAAGCCAGGACCUCCGACGCUUCAACUUGUCAAAGUCCCUGAGCCUGUAACACAGCACCUUUCACUUUUAAAGGUUUUCUUCUGCUCGUGAUCAUGGGAAAUUAUUCUUUAAGGGUAAAAUAAUAUUUAUGAGCUGAGUAAAAAAUACAAAGUAAAAUCCUUGACACCUCAGAAUGCAAGAAAAAUAAGAGAGAAACCAGGAGUUUGAAAUGACACUAAUUUAUUAUAUAGAUUCGCUCGUAGCACAGUAAAUGCACACAAGGAAAAUAUAAAAUGAAGAUAAAAAUUAGUAGACUUUGUUCACUCAGGAACCAAUGGAAAAGAAAGAGUACUACAUUACUCCCAAGUCCUUGAGGAGUGAUAUCAAUUCUUAUCCAAGGAAGACAAGCACAGACGGUGAUGUUUUGCGUCUGGCCGAGGACUGAGAGCUGGGUAUUGACGGCUUAGGCUCCUGCAUUGAGGCUGCCUGUUGACUUUAACCAGCUGCCCUAACAUCUCUCAGCCAUGCCAAAUUUGAGCGCCAUGCCUUCCAUUUUGGUUGACUUCACACCCAUCGGUUUUUCCUUGACGAUGUCACUGAGUGGCAGGAGCUGAUAGUCUCCACAUCGGACAGAUGAAGCAAUGGAGGCGCCAAGGGGUUAGGUGAAAACAUCCGUGGUUACUAAGUUAGGACAAAGGCGACCCGGAAGCCAAGCCUCCCGCAUUUCAGCUCCCUGCGCUUGCCCGACCGGCCAGAUGUCUCUUUCUACUAAAAAUAUCACUAUUCUGCUUAUGCCUCACAUUGUUCCUUUGUUUUCAAGAUUCGUUUUCCCUGCAGAAGUUUUGACUCACGUGUCAGGUGUUUUAUUCACAGUUUGGGCUGCUCGUCCCGGUGAAGUGUCACCAUCUACGCUACGGGCUGUCUCCUGGGAAACCCAAUUAUUUCUGAAAACUUGAAAUCGUAUGCAACUGAGCCCCCCAAAAUUAACCUCUUCUCCUUAAACAUUCCUUUCCCUGAGCACUCGCACGAGCACAGUCGGUUCGUCAAUCUCUUUAUGUAAAUAGUAGUCAUGCAGCAAGGGAGGAGGUCUGUUUAUUAUUUUUGAUCCUGUUUUGCUUCUGGCAAAAUUUCACAAACAGCAGAAGUUGGCAGAACAUUGAUAUUUUCUUCUGACUGGCUACUGUUCUCUAGCUUACAAGUGCAGAGUACAACUGUGACUAUUCUGGUCUGCGGGACUCAGCCAUGACUGAGGUCAAAAUUACAAAAUCGGGCUGGGGGGAGGUAAAAAAAAAAAAAAACCCAAAACCCUCCAUCCAGGACAUCCCUCCAGAAACGCUUUCCUUCCACUAUAGAAUUGUCGAGCUCGAGAUCCAGAGUCCAGAGAGCACCACAGGUGUGACCUAAUUGCCACCUGGCUUUUUGUCCCCCCUCCAAGGUGCACAUUGAAGAUGCCGUGAGCCACUGAGGUCCAUGGGCCCUCAGAGGCCUGGGAAAGCCUGAGGGAGGACGAGCAUCCGCCCCCAGUACUUUCUAGAAAGAAGGGCAGCAUAGGAAGGAGGGGGAGGAUGCAGGGAUAAGGAACCUCUUCUUUCCCUCCCUUACGUUUGUUCCUACCUGACCCCACUGGAUGCCUCGUCGCAGGAAUGCUGAUGCCUUGACAUUGACUUUGGACAAAGGGUCCUUGAUAAAGAGCGGCCAGUCCUCAUGAGGGAGUGGGAGGGGCGUUACUAUGUAGGAUGGUCACGCAGAACUGCAGCUGGAUUUGGAGGCGCAAUGAAGUCCUCCAGCAACUUGAGAGGCUGGUGGGAGAGGGAGGACCAACCGAGUCUAAAAUGAUGAAACGCGACAGGACAGCCCACCUCGGUUCCGGGUAGGCACCCCUGCCUAUGAUUAUCAGGGCAACGGAGUUGCGGAGCGGUGCAAACGACGCGGGCCCAGAAUGACACAGACCAGAGGUCAAAGCGCAGCCCUGCCACCUACUUCCUGGGAGACUUAGGAAACGUUUUUUUUUGUUGUUUUUUUUUAACUCCCUGAGCCUUUGUUUUCUCAUCUGCAAAACGAACAUCAUAAGAUGUUGAGCACUAGGCCUCCCUACAUUUAUUUUCCAGAUGAGUAAACUGAACUCUCAGAGCUCCAUGAAAUUUAAAUAAAAUAGCAAUAUAUGUAGUGCCAAAAAUAGUCCCUGGUACACAAUAGGGAGCCCAAAAUGAGAGAAACGAUAAGUAUACUAUUACUGUUUUUAAACUGUGUAAACGUUUCAAAAGCUAACAUUUAUAAAAAGUUAAAUCACCACUCCCCGGCCCCAAAUAGUUUGCUUAAAUGCACAGAAAUGUUAAUAAACCACGUUGACAACCUGCCUCUCCAGGAAGAACCCCAACUUUCGCUUUUCUUUUCACUGGGGCGGUCCAGUGGACGUGUUCUCCCCGAGCCCAGGAGGCAGGCCUCUCCCUCACCUCUGGGCACAGCUGCACAGGCUCAAUCAAGCAUGAGUGACAGUUAAUGAGCCGCAAAGAACUUGUCUCAACUCCACGUCAUUCCUGCAUCAUGGGACAAAGCAAUACACUUCACAGAAUAGAAGCUGUCGUGUCCCGGGCCAGCCCUGCUAGAGUAACCAACGAUGGGAAGAGGCAGAGCGACAGGAGAAACUUCACGUGCAACAAACAAAUAUAAUGGCCUUGUCAGAAACUGAACUGUAAAGCCGGAAGCGAGGCAGUCAUCUGACUCUGAAUGGGAUGGGGGAAGGAAAAAGUUGGACUCUGAAACCAUCUCUAUUCUACCGAUGCAGAAAGUUUGGGGAGUGGACGAACAAACAGUGUCCUGGGGAUAGUCUGGAUCCCAUGAGGCUAUUUAUAAAAGAGAAGAAAGUGUUUCUUGAAAUUCGAUCAACACAUUUCAAUUAUUUGCCCCUAAGAACACGGGUUUCAACAUCCUGCCAACAAAAACAACUGCUGAGAGACCGUCACACAAGCAGGUAAGAAGCAAACCCCCUACCAUUUUAUAAGCUGUUCCAAGCAACCCCAGUGGAUUGCCCACCGCGGCCAGUGACGACAUACAAACACUCCCACGUGGAAUCGCAUAACACUCUGUGUUGGGCCCGACAGCGGAUGAUGAACUCAGCCACUGAAAUUCUUUCGCAGUCCUCUUCAAGCUAUCCUGCAAGACUGAUUUCCCUUCUUGCUUGCCAAGUAUUUCCCCGCUCCCUCUUCUAGGAAGCCAGUAAUAAAAAUAUUUAAGCAGCUCUA